UUUACGGAGAGUUUGAUCCUGGCUCAGGACGAACGCUGGCGGCGUGCCUAACACAUGCAAGUCGAACGGGGUUUCAGGGAUAGCUUGCUAUUCCUGCGACCUAGUGGCGCACGGGUGAGUAACACGUGGGUAAUCUGCCCGGAAGACCGGGAUAACAGCCCGAAAGGGCUGCUAAUACCGGAUACGCCCGGCCUGCCGCAUGACAGGUUGGGGAAAGAGUUAUCGCUUUCGGAUGAGCCCGCGUCCCAUUAGCUAGUUGGUGAGGUAACGGCUCACCAAG
rnacentral:rRNA from 1 species